GUCCGGGUGGUGGAAUUGGUAGACACGCAAGCUUGAGGUGCUUGUGGGAGUAAUCCCGUGGGGGUUCAAGUCCCCCCUCGGGCA
rnacentral:tRNA from 1 species